AAUGGGCGAAAGCCUGACGGAGCAACGCCGCGUGAGGGAUGAAGGCCUCUGGGCUGUAAACCUCUUUUAUCAAGGAAGAAGAUCUGACGGUACUUGAUGAAUAAGCCACGGCUAAUUCCGUGCCAGCAGCCGCGGUAAUACGGGAGUGGCAAGCGUUAUCCGGAAUUAUUGGGCGUAAAGCGUCCGCAGGCGGCCCUUCAAGUCUGCUGUUAAAAAGUGGAGCUUAACUCCAUCAUGGCAGUGGGAACUGUUGGGCUUGAGUGUGGUAGGGGCAGAGGGAAUUCCUGGUGUAGCGGUGAAAUGCGUAGAUAUCGGGAAGAACACCAGUGGCGAAGGCGCUCUGCUGGGCCAUCACUGACGCUCAUGGACGAAAGCCAGGGGAGCGAAAGGGAUU
rnacentral:rRNA from 1 species